rnacentral:rRNA from 1 species
CCUACGGGAGGCAGCAGUGGGGAAUUUUGGACAAUGGACGAAAGUCUGAUCCAGCAAUGCCGCGUGCAGGACGAAGGCCUUCGGGUUGUAAACUGCUUUUGUACGGAGCGAAAAGGUCUGCCUUAAUACGGUGGGCUCAUGACGGUACCGUAAGAAUAAGCACCGGCUAACUACGUGCCAGCAGCCGCGGUAAUACGUAGGGUGCAAGCGUUAAUCGGAAUUACUGGGCGUAAAGCGUGCGCAGGCGGUUAUAUAAGACAGAUGUGAAAUCCCCGGGCUCAACCUGGGACCUGCAUUUGUGACUGUAUAGCUAGAGUACGGUAGAGGGGGAUGGAAUUCCGCGUGUAGCAGUGAAAUGCGUAGAUAUGCGGAGGAACACCGAUGGCGAAGGCAAUCCCCUGGACCUGUACUGACGCUCAUGCACGAAAGCGUGGGGAGCAAACAGGAUUAGAUACCCUGGUAGUCCACGCCCUAAACGAUGUCAACUGGUUGUUGGGUCUUCACCGACUCAGUAACGAAGCUAACGCGUGAAGUUGACCGCCUGGGGAGUACGGCCGCGAAGGUUGAACUUAAGAGUAGUAGCGUGNGAGUGCGACGAGACACGACGGAGGAGGAGG